GUUGGGGAGGCCGAGUGGUUAAGUCGUUGGAAUAGAAAUCCAAUGGGAUCUUCCCGCGCAGGCCGGAACCUGCCCGCAACG
rfam:Nematostella vectensis strain CH2 x CH6 NEMVEscaffold_18341_Cont59031, whole genome shotgun sequence.